rnacentral:rRNA from 1 species
CCAGACUCCUACGGGAGGCAGCAGUGAGGAAUAUUGGUCAAUGGGCGAGAGCCUGAACCAGCCAAGUCGCGUGAAGGACGACGGUUCUAUGGAUUGUAAACUUCUUUUGUAGAGGAAUAACGGUAGCUACGUGUAGCUGAGAUGCAUGUACUCUACGAAUAAGUAUCGGCUAACUCCGUGCCAGCAGCCGCGGUAAUACGGAGGAUACGAGCGUUAUCCGGAAUUAUUGGGUUUAAAGGGUGCGUAGGUGGCGUAUUAAGUCAGUGGUGAAAAGCUGCAGCUCAACUGUAGUCUUGCCGUUGAAACUGAUAUGCUAGAGAGGAGACGAGGUAUGCGGAAUGUGUGGUGUAGCGGUGAAAUGCAUAGAUAUCACACAGAACGCCGAUUGCGAAGGCAGCGUACCAGGCUCCGUCUGACACUGAAGCACGAAAGCGUGGGGAUCAAACAGGAUUAGAUACCCUGGUAGUCCACGCAGUAAACGAUGAAUACUAGAUUUUUGCGAUAUACUGUAAGAGUCUAAGCGAAAGCGAUAAGUAUUCCACCUGGGGAGUACGCCGGCAACGGUGAAACUCAAAGGAAUUGACGGGGGCCCGCACAAGAA